GUAGGAUGCCUUUAUUCCAAAGACCUCAAAGCACUCCACGACACGAUCAAAUCCAUUCCUGCGUCUCUGUGAGUAAAAAGUAAGUGUUUGUGAUUACCAAUUGAUAUUUUUUCCUGCUGGGGCGCAUCACAUAGCUGGCCAACCAAGUUCAGGAGGCAGUUUUCUCUAUCUCUCACUUCUCUCAACUGCACUCUUCACCAUCAUAGGUUGUCUGGUUGCAUAAUGUAUGUGAAAUUUGAUGAGAUAUCAAACCAGAGUUCUGAUAAGGAAUUGUUUUUGUCUGCUUUUCUGCCAGUCCUAGUUUUCCCUCAAUAAGCAUCUGUAUUGUUCCUGGUAUCAUAGCAGCAAGAUAAGCAAGCAGAUCUAUUAGAUGGGAGGAAAUCAGGGAGAAGAUAUUAGAUCCAGGCUUUCAUGCUUAGCUUGAAAUCUCUGCAGUUCUGUCACUGUUGUGAACAUAAAAGACUCUCUGAAGUGGUAUUUAGAAACUGCC
rnacentral:lncRNA from 1 species